rfam:Echinostoma caproni strain Egypt genome assembly, scaffold: ECPE_scaffold0021458
GGCCUCGUAGCUCAGCUGGUAGAGCGUGCGCUUUACAAAAGCGUAGGCGGCGUCCGUGAGUGGGUUCGAAUACCAUCGAGGUUA